rnacentral:rRNA from 1 species
CAGUCGCCGCGGUAAUACAGAGGGUGCAAGCGUUAAUCGGAUUUACUGGGCGUAAAGGGCGCGUAGGUGGUUAUUUAAGUGAGAUGUGGAAGCCCCGGGCUUAACCUGGGAACUGCAUCUUAUACUGGGUAACUGGAGUGCAGUAGAGGGUAGUGGAAUUUCCGGUGUAGCGGUGAAAUGCGUAGAUAUCGGAAGGAACACCAGUGGCGGAGGCGGCUACCUGGACUGAGACUGACACUGAGGCGCGAGAGCGUGGGGAGCAAACAGGAUUAGAUACCCGCGUAGUCCCUGUCUCUUAUAC